AUUGAACGCUGGCGGCAGGCCUAACACAUGCAAGUCGAGCGAGCGGCGGACGGGUGAGUAAUGUAUGGGGACUGCCCGAUAGAGGGGGAACACUAAUGGAAACGGGGGCUAAUACCGCAUACUAUCGGAUAACCCAUAUGGGAUUAGCUUGGAGGUGGGGUAAAGGCACACCUAGGCGACGAUCUCUCGCUGGUCUGAGAGGAUGAUCAGCCACACUGGGACUGAGAAACGGCCCGGAGUCCUACGGAGGCAGAAGUGGGGAAUAUUGCACAAUGGGCGCAAGCCGGAUGCAGCCAUGGCGCGUGUAUGAAGAAGGCCUUAGGGUGGGAAAGUACUUUCAGCGGGGAGGCGUUACCCGCAGAAGAAGCACCGGCUAACUCCGUGCCAGCAGCCGCGGUAAUUC
rnacentral:rRNA from 1 species